GUUGGUCAAAAGGUUAGUUCAGGUUUUUCCAUAGCAUCUUACGGAAAAACUCGAAUGAACCUUUUGGCCAA
rnacentral:miRNA from 1 species